AGUGAACGCUGGCGGUAGGCCUAACACAUGCAAGUCGAACGGCAGCACAGUAAGAGCUUGCUCUUACGGGUGGCGAGUGGCGGACGGGUGAGGAAUACAUCGGAACCUACUUUUUCGUGGGGGAUAACGUAGGGAAACUUACGCUAAUGCCGCAUACGACCUACGGGUGAAAGCAGGGGAUCUUCGGACCUUGCGCGAUUGAAUGAGCCGAUGUCGGAUUAGCUAGUUGGCGGGGUAAAGGCCCACCAAGGCGACGAUCCGUAGCUGGUCUGAGAGGAUGAUCAGCCACACUGGAACUGAGACACGGUCCAGACUCCUACGGGAGGCAGCAGUGGGGAAUAUUGGACAAUGGGCGCAAGCCUGAUCCAGCCAUACCGCGUGGGUGAAGAAGGCCUUCGGGUUGUAAAGCCCUUUUGUUGGGAAAGAAAAGCAGCAGGUUAAUACCCCGCUGUUCUGACGGUACCCAAAGAAUAAGCACCGGCUAACUUCGUG
rnacentral:rRNA from 1 species